ACGCUGGCGGCAGGCCUAACACAUGCAAGUCGAGCGGUAGAGAGAAGCUUGCUUCUCUUGAGAGCGGCGGACGGGUGAGUAAUGCCUAGGAAUCUGCCUGGUAGUGGGGGAUAACGUUCGGAAACGGACGCUAAUACCGCAUACGUCCUACGGGAGAAAGCAGGGGACCUUCGGGCCUUGCGCUAUCAGAUGAGCCUAGGUCGGAUUAGCUAGUUGGUGAGGUAAUGGCUCACCAAGGCGACGAUCCGUAACUGGUCUGAGAGGAUGAUCAGUCACACUGGAACUGAGACACGGUCCAGACUCCUACGGGAGGCAGCAGUGGGGAAUAUUGGACAAUGGGCGAAAGCCUGAUCCAGCCAUGCCGCGUGUGUGAAGAAGGUCUUCGGAUUGUAAAGCACUUUAAGUUGGGAGGAAGGGCAGUUACCUAAUACGUGAUUGUUUUGACGUUACCGACAGAAUAAGCACCGGCUAACUCUGUGCCAGCAGCCGCGGUAAUACAGAGGGUGCAAGCGUUAAUCGGAAUUACUGGGCGUAAAGCGCGCGUAGGUGGUUUGUUAAGUUGGAUGUGAAGUCCCCGGGCUCAACCUGGGAACUGCAUUCAAAACUGACUGACUAGAGUGUGGUAGAGGGUGGUGGAAUUUCCUGUGUAGCGGUGAAAUGCGUAGAUAUAGGAAGGAACACCAGUGGCGAAGGCGACCACCUGGACCAACACUGACACUGAGGUGCGAAAGCGUGGGGAGCAAAC
rnacentral:rRNA from 1 species